ACUUUGUGGCUGCACGCGGAAGAUUACCUGCUUAGUUUGGAAACUUCAAAGGGACGGCUAUCCAGAGACGUUGCAAGAACAACAGGAUGACUUUAGAUGUCUACACGAUGACUGCAUGAUUACUCAAGUAGACUUCUUGGAUCAGUCUUCCAGAACAGAGCCUUCACCAUCAUCAAUUUAAUCCCAGCAAGUUCACAGACAUCUGAACUUGAGCUGUUGGGUUGGAGACCUUUUGUCCAGUUAUCAGCUCUGCCACAUCUUUCUGGAGGACCUCAUCUCAGUUCAGAAAUCAGAAAUCUUCAGAAGGAUAAUCAGUAUAUUGCCGCCAACAAGCUGAGUCCUCAUUUUACCAACCUCGGAAAGAUGGAAGGCUGAGUCAACCUUGAGCUGUUCAGGAUUGAACCUCUGGCAGUGAGUAGGGAGUUGGCCUGCAAUACUGCAUUCUAACCACUGCGUC
rnacentral:lncRNA from 1 species